ensembl:lncRNA
AGCCACUAGGGCCCUCUGACCCCAAGGCACAUCUGCUGCUACUCAGGGCUUGUGGGCAGGGAGGAGUCUCAGCUCAGCUCACACCCUAGGCCGGCAUGUUUUGUGUGGGUGUGGGCGGGACAUGUCAGGGCCCGUGGUUCUUCAGGGACCUGUGUCCCAUCACAUGUUAGGCUCCUGGGUGUGUCUUCGCUUAUGUCUGUGCUGUCAGCAACUGCCUGCCUUAAACCUUGUGGGCAAUCAAUGAAAGUAUGGGGAGUUGGGUGUUCCCCCGUGUGAAUGUUCCUCUGUAUGUGAGGCUGGGUUUCUUUCAUAAUGCAGACCCGCACACCCUAGGCUGGAAUGAACUGUGGUGGUGUGUUAGCUGCCGGUGUUACCACACGGAGAAUUCGGCGUGGCGGUGUGUUGGAGUGUGUGUCUCUAUCAAAUGAACCUACUUCUCCAUGUAUGUUGUCGUGUGUUCCUGUAAGCACCCUGAGUUUGUGUCCUGGAGUGUGGCUGUGUCCAGGAGCUCCUGGCUCUAUGCCCUCCUCAACUUCACUCCCUGCUGCCUGAGUGAGCCGACACCUGCUCCCUGAGCACUGGACCCCCUCCUCCCACCUGGCAAGGACAAGGAAGGACACGGAGACAGAGGCAGACAUAGAGGCAGAGACAGAGAGACUUGGAAGAGGACGCAGAGAGCCAAGCAGGCUGCAGAGGUGGUGACCCAGAGUCAUGUGAUCAGCCUCAGAGCCCAAAACCCAGAAGAGAGAAACAGAGAUCCAAGAUUCAGACAUUAGAGAGACCCAGAGUCACACAGAGACCCAGAGCACCAAGUCCGGAACUGCUGAAACAGACCAGAGAUCAAGGAUGUGGCUCCCCAGCCUCCCUCCCUCUCUCCCUCCCUUCCUCCCACUCUAGAGUUUCCAGCCCCAGCUGUGCCUCCUCCACACACCCAAAGCAGAAUUCUCUUGGCCCUGGGAGUUUGUGCCCUAGGACUGGAACCCAGCCUCCUCCUCGCAGCAGCUGGCUGUGUGUGUGUGCGUACAUGUGUGCGUGUGCACAUGCACGCAAGUGCUCCAGUGUGCAUGUGCUACCAUCUGUGUGCUAUUCUUGGCCAGUGCCUACAAUGGCACUCAGCCCUCCCAGGGCCAUGGGCAUACAACUGACAUAAACACACACACACACACACCUCUUAAGGAACAUACAGGAGCACAGGCACAGAGAGGGCAGAUACAACCACACGCUGAAACCCAGAUACACAAAGGCACAGGCACACACACACCUCCCCCCUCAUGCACACACACUGUUGUCCGCAUUUUCACUGGCCCAGAUCAUGUACACCUUUAUACACAUGUCACACAGUCAGCCACACUCAUUCACACCCGGAAACAUGCCCUCAGUCUCCCUCUCUCUACACAUCUAUACACAGGGCCAGGUGAUCCACCAUGCAUACAGCAAGUGUCACCUUCUUAAGUUCCCCCAGGCUGCCAUUCACCCUUCAGCAACCCCUGAGGGGUUCCCAACCCCUGUCACCCACAGGGAAAGACAUAAGAACAAAUCUGUCAAUUCCAUCAGACCAUACACACACAGACAGGAACCCCAUCUGUCUUGUUCACUGUUGUAUCCCCGGGUGCCUGGGACAGUGCCUGGAAUCUUGUAGAUGCUUAAGAAAUAUUGGUUGAAUGAAUGUGUUCACAUAGUGUCUCUAACAGUCACUGAGAGAACCCAUGGUAAUUUACAACCAGUCAUUCAGUGAAAAACACUGACGGGUACCCUAGUGUACACACAAAGCAUUUUAUGCACACCUAGGACAACACGUUAAAUACAGGUGUGUGCACACAAGUGGCUGCUUGUGUGCAAACAUUCAGCACAACAGCUAGAUUUAAGGUUCUCAACUUUGGCUGCACAUUAGAACCACCUGGGGAGCUUUUAAAAAUCCCCAUGCCCAGGCCCCACCCAGGCCAACAGAUAAAAUCUCUCUGGGGUGAGAACCACUGAUCUAGAUGAAUGGACUCGAAAAUGUUGACGUAAGGGUUAUUACCAAGAAUGGGGGUAGUGUGGGUUUUCACUUUGAACAGUAUAGUCAAACAGACUCCUGAAGGAGAUUGCUUGGGUUUCAACCCUGGUGUCCUCAUUGAGAUGUCUUUAUAAAUGACCUCUCUGUACCUGAGUUUCCUGUCUGUAAAAUGGGGAUGAUCUACAAUAAAGCCUCAUGGGAUUGUCAUGGGGACAAAAUGAGUUUAUAGAUCUAGUUUAGAACAGUAACUAGUACAUAAUGUUAUGUAAUUAUUUCUUGAUCUUACUUCUAUCAUUUAAAAUUUUAAUCAUAGAAUGGAUGAAUUUGGGGAUUAAUUUUAUAAGCAAGACUUUUUUCCCUUUGUUAUGAAAAAGCAAUGGUUCAGAGUCAGACUCUGGGUCAACCUACUUCUGCCACCUCCUGUGGGAUCUUGGGACAGGUUACUUUGUUUCUCUGAACCUGUCUUCCCAUCUGUAAAUGAGCUGAGUAUUUUUUUCUACCUCAAAGAUUGUCCUGAGGAGUAAAAAACCUCAGGGAGGGGCUUAAUAAACAGUGGC